AGUGAACGCUGGCGGCAGGCCUAACACAUGCAAGUCGAACGGCAGCACAGUAAGAGCUUGCUCUUACGGGUGGCGAGUGGCGGACGGGUGAGGAAUACAUCGGAAUCUACUUUUUCGUGGGGGAUAACGUAGGGAAACUUACGCUAAUACCGCAUACGACCUACGGGUGAAAUCAGGGGAUCUUCGGACCUUGCGCGAUUGAAUGAGCCGAUGUCGGAUUAGCUAGUUGGCGGGGUAAAGGCCCACCAAGGCGACGAUCCGUAGCUGGUCUGAGAGGAUGAUCAGCCACACUGGAACUGAGACACGGUCCAGACUCCUACGGGAGGCAGCAGUGGGGAAUAUUGGACAAUGGGCGAAAGCCUGAUCCAGCCAUACCGCGUGGGUGAAGAAGGCCUUCGGGUUGUAAAGCCCUUUUGUUGGGAAAGAAAAGCAGCAGGUUAAUACCCCGCUGUUCUGACGGUACCCAAAGAAUAAGCACCGGCUAACUUCGUG
rnacentral:rRNA from 1 species